AUUGAACGCUGGCGGCAUGCCUUACACAUGCAAGUCGAACGGCAGCACGGGUGCUUGCACCUGGUGGCGAGUGGCGAACGGGAGAGUAAUACAUCGGAACAUGUCCUGUAGUGGGGGAUAGCCCGGCGAAAGCCGGAUUAAUACCGCAUACGAUCUACGGAUGAAAGCGGGGGACCUUCGGGCCUCGCGCUAUAGGGUUGGCCGAUGGCUGAUUAGCUAGUUGGUGGGGUAAAGGCCUACCAAGGCGACGAUCAGUAGCUGGUCUGAGAGGACGACCAGCCACACUGGGACUGAGACACGGCCCAGACUCCUACGGGAAGCCGCAGUGGGGAAUUUUGGACAAUGGGCGAAAGCCUGAUCCAGCAAUGCCGCGUGUGUGAAGAACUCCUUCGGGUUGUAAAGCACUUUUGUCCGGAAAGAAAUCCUUGGCCCUAAUACGGUCGGGGGAUGACGGUACCGGAAGAAUAAGCACCGGCUCACUACGUG
rnacentral:rRNA from 1 species